rnacentral:rRNA from 1 species
UACAGAGGUCCCAAGCGUUGUUCGGAAUUACUGGGCGUAAAGCGCACGUAGGCGGCUUUGUAAGUUAGAGGUGAAAGCCCGGAGCUCAACUCCGGAAUUGCCUUUAAGACUGCAUCGCUUGAAUCCAGGAGAGGUGAGUGGAAUUCCCGGUGUAGUGGUGAAAUGCGUAGAUAUCGGAAGGAACAUCAGUGGCGAAAGCGACUUCCUGGACCAAUACUGACGCUCAUGUGCGAAAGCGUGGGGAGCAA